UACGGAGGGAGCUAGCGUUAUUCGGAAUUACUGGGCGUAAAGCGCACGUAGGCGGCUUUGUAAGUUAGAGGUGAAAGCCUGGAGCUCAACUCCAGAAUUGCCUUUAAGACUGCAUCGCUUGAAUCCAGGAGAGGUGAGUGGAAUUCCGAGUGUAGAGGUGAAAUUCGUAGAUAUUCGGAAGAACACCAGUGGCGAAGGCGGCUCACUGGACUGGUAUUGACGCUGAGGUGCGAAAGCGUGGGGGAGCAAACAGGGAUUAAGAA
rnacentral:rRNA from 1 species